AGUGAACGCUGGCGGUAGGCCUAACACAUGCAAGUCGAACGGCAGCACAGUAAGAGCUUGCUCUUACGGGUGGCGAGUGGCGGACGGGUGAGGAAUACAUCGGAAUCUACUUUUUCGUGGGGGAUCACGUAGGGAAACUUACGCUAAUACCGCAUACGCCCUACGGGUGAAAGCAGUGGAUCUUCGGACCUUGCGCGAUUGAAUGAGCCGAUGUCGGAUUAGCUAGUUGGCGGGGUAAAGGCCCACCAAGGCGACGAUCCGUAGCUGGUCUGAGAGGAUGAUCAGCCACACUGGAACUGAGACACGGUCCAGACUCCUACGGGAGGCAGCAGUGGGGAAUAUUGGACAAUGGGCGCAAGCAUGAUCCAGCCAGAGCGCGUGGGUGAAGAAGGCCUUCGGGUUGUAAAGCCCUUUUGUUGGGAAAGAAAAGCAGCAGGUUAAUACCCCGCUGUUCUGACGGUACCCAAAGAAUAAGCACCGGCUAACUUCGUG
rnacentral:rRNA from 1 species